GCUAUUUCAGGCUGAUAGUAAUGGAACGCUACGUUUAAUAUAUGCGAUAAGUCGUAGCACGAUAGAAGUGGAUCGAAAUUACCACUCGUCAAAAUUAGAGUUGAUGACAGGGAAUUAUACGUAGUUCCACGCGCGAUGAGGAAAGCGUUGGUUAUUAAGAGUCACGAUUUGUCAAGUCACUUCGGAAUAGACCGAACCGUUGCACGAAUAAGUGAGGUUUACUAUUUUCCUAAAUUACGAAGUUACGUAAAAAGACACAGCUUUCUGCAUUGAAUGCUUGUUUGCUAAGCACGGUGUGCCUGAACCAACUAUCAUGUGUUUAAAACAUUAACAUUUUUGAAGCAAAAAGCUUCCAAAUUAACAUUUUUUCAAAAUUUACCUAUAUUUCGUUACGUUAGGCACAUAUUAGACAAAAGAAAGAUGGAAAAAUUUGUAUUCUUCCAUUUUUACGUCAGAAAGUUUGAGUUUUCCCAGGACAACAUGUUUUCAAAUUCAAAAGAUGCUGGUUCACAUGAUGAAAACCGAAAAAAAAUUUGUUUUUUCUGUUUAAAGAAAAAGGAGAAAAUGAUAGAAAUUAAUGAUGCUUUAAAGGAUCGAGUGAAAAAACUUGUGACUUUCGAUGUAGAAGAUACUAGUGUUCCUACUGUUAUUUGUAAUUCUUGCAAAAUUCUUGUUUAUAGUUCGCUCAAAGAUAAGAAAUAUGAAGCGUAUUUAAAAAUACCCGAUUGUUCCCAAUUUGGAUUACAAUGUUGUAAUACCAGGAGCACCGAAGACAAAUUAUGUAGUUGUAAUUUAGUGAGAAAACCGGGGCACAUUAACUUCGAAAAAAAUAAACCAAUAACAAAAAAAGAAGAAAAAUUAUUGCGCUAAGUGCCGAUUAGAAAUAUUUGUAGGAAAAUCACAUUUUUGUUGUAUAGAGAAUUUGGAGAAGCAUAUUAUAAAUUAUUUAUUUACAAAGGAAAAAGAACACUUAGUUUUUCAUUUAAUUAAAGAUAUUUCAAGUACAAAAAAGAGAAUUAAUUCUGAAGAAAAUUAAUCAGGUAAAGAUACAAUUGCUUUAUCUCAAAAACAUGGAAAGUCAUUAAAAAUUUCUUUGAAUAUUGACCAAGAAUCGAAAUUUAAAAAAAGAAAAACUUUCUGCUGAAGAUAUUUCGAGAAUUGGAACAGAUUGUGACCUUUCAACUUUUUUACAGUACACAGAAUUACUUUCGUGUAGCUACAAAUAACAGAAAGCUGUUUGAACCAAAUUUAAAAGAAAAAUGUAACGUGACCAAAUCCAAGAAUAAUCAAAUUACAACUGCAUCAGAAAUUUUAGUUUUUUGCAAUAAUGUAAACGAAUUGAUUGAUUUUGUUAAAGAGAAAAGGAAAGUUAAUGAAGUGUAUUUAAAGAUUGGUAUAGAUGGAGGCGGAGUAUUUUUAAGAGUUUGUCUUUCGAUACAGUCGUCUGCGAUCAUUGAAUCUGUUGGCAAUAUUAUUUGUUUGUUCUGUUUAUUAUUUUUAUUUGGAGGGAAAAUCUAAUUUUUCUAUUGGUUGUUUGGGAAUGCGCGCAAAUAUAUUGAUAAGGGGAAAGUGAAUAGCGCCAAAAUAAAAGGAAUGAAUGUUAGAGAGAAAUUAGAGAUAGGAUGAGUCGGUCGUGUCGAAACUCAGUCCUAAAGAAUAUUAUAUAUUUAUGUGAUGGCAGCUAGCUGUAGUUUAUUUUCUCAAUUUUAUAAUUAUUUUAAUUAACUCGACCUUAAUAAAUAAAUUGUUUCAUUUAUAAAUUGUGUUUAAUUUAUAAAUUGUGAUAUAACCUCGUGUCUAAUUGUUAUCCAAAAAUUAAUUGCUAACAAGAAUUCAGAAGUGGGAUAUUAAAAA